CGUAACAAGGUCUCCGUAGGUGAACCUGCGGAGGGAUCAUUACACAAAUAUGAAGGCGGGCUGGAACCUCUCGGGGUUACAGCCUUGCUGAAUUAUUCACCCUUGUCUUUUGCGUACUUCUUGUUUCCUUGGUGGGUUCGCCCACCACUAGGACAAACAUAAACCUUUUGUAAUUGCGAUCAGCGUCAGUAACAAAUUAAUAAUUACAACUUUCAACAACGGAUCUCUUGGUUCUGGCAUCGAUGAAGAACGCAGCGAAAUGCGAUAAGUAGUGUGAAUUGCAGAAUUCAGUGAAUCAUCGAAUCUUUGAACGCACAUUGCGCCCUUUGGUAUUCCAAAGGGCAUGCCUGUUCGAGCGUCAUUUGUACCCUCAAGCUUUGCUUGGUGUUGGGCGUCUUGUCUCUAGCUUUGCUGGAGACUCGCCUUAAAGUAAUUGGCAGCCGGCCUACUGGUUUCGGAGCGCAGCACAAGUCGCACUCUCUAUCAGCAAAGGUCUAGCAUCCAUUAAGCCUUUUUUUCAACUUUUGACCUCGGAUCAGGUAGGGAUACCCGCUGAACUUAAGCAUAUCA
rnacentral:rRNA from 1 species